UACGUAGGUGGCAAGCGUUGUCCGGAUUUACUGGCGUAAAGAGCGCGCAGGCUGUCGGAUUAGUCGCGUGUGAAAGCCCCCGGCUCAACUGGGGAGGGUCACGCGAUACUGUUCGACUCGAAGGCAGGAGAGGGAAGUGGAAUUCCCGGUGUAGUGGUGAAAUGCGUAGAUAUCGGGAGGAACACCAGUGGCGAAGGCGGCAUCCUGGACCGGUAUUGACGCUGAGGCGCGAAAGCCAGGGAGCAACGGG
rnacentral:rRNA from 1 species